rnacentral:sRNA from 1 species
GGAAAUGAGGGCAACCUGGUUACAGCAUCUACCUCUGUUGAGCCACCAACUGGGUUAACAAACUGGCUAGUAGUUAGUUCUCCCUUACUGUUGCACUUGUGUCCCUCCUGAAGCUGUGUACUCAUUCUAAGAGGAUGACCUUCUCUGACAGAGGAGGAACAUUUCUGACCAAAGUUCUACAGCUUUGAACAACCUCCAAAUAAGCUUUUGAAAAUGACUGCUAAAAUCU